GUUGAAACACCAAUUCUCAUACGAUCACUGAAGUUAAGCAAUGUCAAGCCUGGCCAGUACUUAGAUGGAUGACCGCUUGGGAAUAUCAGAUGCUG